GAACAGGUGCACGGGCAUUAUCUGCGCGCGUGAGGCUACAGCCGAUGCCAGAUUUUUGCUAGGUAUGUCUUUCCUCUCUUCAUUCUGCCUCUCGAAACAUGCUAACAGGUGCCAGUUGAAAACUAUACAACUGACCACUCCUUGUGGACUUCGGUUCGCUUGGGAAUCUUUGGAAACCAAACCUAACAUUACCUUUUCAUCAUCAUCGGCGCCUUGAGCGAAGAUUUGG
rnacentral:snRNA from 11 species